rnacentral:rRNA from 1 species
UACGAAGGGGGCUAGCGUUGCUCGGAAUCACUGGGCGUAAAGCGCACGUAGGCGGCUUUCUAAGUCAGGGGUGAAAUCCUGGAGCUCAACUCCAGAACUGCCUUUGAUACUGGAGAGCUUGAGUCCGGAAGAGGUGAGUGGAACUCCGAGUGUAGAGGUGAAAUUCGUAGAUAUUGGAAGAACACCAGUGGCGAAGGCGGCUCACUGGUCCGGUACUGACGCUGAGGUGCGAAAGCGUGGGGAGCAAACAGG